UACAGAACGCCCGGGCUUCGGCCUGGUUAUUCAUAACCCUUUGUUGUCCGACUCUGUUGCCUCCGGGGCGACCCUGCCUUCGGGCGGGGGCUCCGGGUGGACACUUCAAACUCUUGCGUAACUUUGCAGUCUGAGUAAACUUAAUUAAUAAAUUAAAACUUUUAACAACGGAUCUCUUGGUUCUGGCAUCGAUGAAGAACGCAGCGAAAUGCGAUAAGUAAUGUGAAUUGCAGAAUUCAGUGAAUCAUCGAAUCUUUGAACGCACAUUGCGCCCCCUGGUAUUCCGGGGGGCAUGCCUGUUCGAGCGUCAUUUCACCACUCAAGCCUCGCUUGGUAUUGGGCAACGCGGUCCGCCGCGUGCCUCAAAUCGUCCGGCUGGGUCUUCUGUCCCCUAAGCGUUGUGGAAACUAUUCGCUAAAGGGUGUUCGGGAGGCUACGCCGUAAAACAACCCCAUUUCUAAGGUUGACCUCGGAUCAGGUAGGGAUACCCGCUGAACUUAAGCAUAU
rnacentral:rRNA from 1 species